CAGUCGCCGCGGGAAUACGAAGGGGGCUAGCGUUGCUCGGAAUUACUGGGCGUAAAGGGAGCGUAGGCGGACAUUUAAGUCAGGGGUGAAAUCCCAGAGCUCAACUCUGGAACUGCCUUUGAUACUGGGUGUCUUGAGUGUGAUAGAGGUAUGUGGAACUCCGAGUGUAGAGGUGAAAUUCGUAGAUAUUCGGAAGAACACCAGUGGCGAAGGCGACAUACUGGAUCAUUACUGACGCUGAGGCUCGAAAGCGUGGGGAGCAAACAGGAUUAGAGACCCCUGUAGUCCCUGUCUCUUAUAC
rnacentral:rRNA from 1 species